GAUGAACGCUAGCUACAGGCUUAACACAUGCAAGUCGAGGGGUAGCAGGGUAGCAAUACCGCUGACGACCGGCGCACGGGUGAGUAACACGUAUCCAACCUUCCCAUAACUCGGGGAUAGCCUUUCGAAAGAAAGAUUAAUACCCGAUAGUACUUUUUCAAGGCAUCUUGAGAAAGUUAAAGAUUUAUUGGUUAUGGAUGGGGAUGCGUUCCAUUAGAUAGUUGGUGAGGUAACGGCUCACCAAGUCUUCGAUGGAUAGGGGUUCUGAGAGGAAGGUCCCCCACAUUGGGACUGAGACACGGACCAAACUCCUACGGGAUGCAGCAGUGAGGAAUAAUGGUCAAUGGGCGAGAGCCUGAACCAGCCAAGUAGCGUGAAGGAUGAAGGUCCUAUGGAUUGUAAACUUCUUUUAUAGUAGAAUAAAGUGACCUACGUGUAGGUUUUUGUAUGUAUACUAUGAAUAAGGACCGGCUAACUCCGUGCCAGCCGCCGCUGUAACAC
rnacentral:rRNA from 1 species